UUUGCAACCUUUUAAGAAAGAUUCCCCAAGGGAGUUUAUCUUCAUCAUUUCCAAAGCUAGGACAGAAAGGCAACAUGCUUCUCCCUGACCCCAAGGUCUCCUCCCUUCUUCAGAAUUCUCCUCCUCAGAGCCCAGCUGCCAUGUCGUGAGGAUGCCCUGCACCAAUCACUGUGCCUGAGCGCACUGGCCUGCACCAGCCAGCUGGCGUCAGUUUCCAAGCACAGGAAUGAAGGCCUUCAAGGGGCAUCAGUCCAGACUCAGAGCUGCCCAAGGUAUGUCUUCCCAUUUACCACUGAAGAAACACUGUCCUUACCUUAAAAUCAAAACACGAACUCCCAAAAGCUUCACGAAGAUGUGAGAGAAAUAUGGGCAGAUCCAGGUUAAUGCCAGAAACCACUCAUUUCUAUCAUUCAGCCUCAUCUCACCCACAAACCAGAGACCAGAAGCCAAACUUCACCCUGAACCUUUGUCAGACUGAAAUGAGUCGUCCAGGGGGAAAAGAGAGAGCCAGAUGUUCACCAACAUGACACAGCAGCUCAGCGAAUCAAGUAUGUGUGGAAAAGUACAAACUCCUCCAGGACAGCAAUCCUCAAGCAAACUCUAAUCCUUUCCCUUUCAAAUACUUCUUCACAUACCCCUCGGGAGACCUCAGCGAUAGACUGAAGAACCCCAACAUCGGAAGCUCUGUACUUUGUAGGUACCUGUUCUGAAGCCAGAUUUUGUUAAAGAACCUAAAGAAGUUUGGACUCAGCUAGUCAUCAUUUCUAGGACUCUAAAUGUCGUACUAUGUUAACCAUAAUUCUAUUAGUAUAGAGAUCCUAACAUAGUUCAUACAGAAAACAGUUACUUAGGCUCAACUUU